rnacentral:tRNA from 1 species
GGGGGCGUGGCGGAAUUGGCAUACGCAUCGGUCUUAAAAACCGAGGCCGCAAGGAUUGUGGGUUCGAGUCCCACCGCCCCCACCA